ACCAGUGUGUUGGGUUUAGGGCAAGACCUAGGUUUACUUUCGGUUUUAAGGCUUAUGCGGUGACUAGUCGGCUAUUGAUUUUCCUGGUGCGAUUUCAACCUGAUUCAUUCCGAUUUAAAGUCCGCGAUAGGUUCUCGGCUUAUACGACUUGUAUGGUGUGAAUCGAGCAUCUCUCCAGAGACAAUUUUAAGCCAACUGGAAGUGCUUGACCAAAAUUUCUGAUUUUUUAUAUAGCGUGCUUUUAUCCUUGUGUCGGAUGUUUGAGGAUCAGAAUGAUCACCGUGCGUUUGUUUAAGAUGGCUGAUGUGUUCGUCGGGGCCAAUCGACGAGCAUGAUGUAAAUAUUCGUUGAAAUUUUAUUGUCACGUUUGG
rnacentral:lncRNA from 1 species